GGUUGUAGCUCAGUGGUAGAGUGCUCGCCUAGCAUGCACAAGUCACUGGGUUUGAUCCUCAGCACCA
rnacentral:tRNA from 1 species